AUUGAACGCUGGCGGCAUGCUUUACACAUGCAAGCCGAACGGCAGCGGGGAGGAGCUUGCUUCUCUGCCGGCGAGUGGCGAACGGGUGAGUAAUACAUCGGAACGUGUCGAGAAGAGGGGGAUAACCACCCGAAAGGGUGGCUAAUACCGCAUAAAUUCUGAGGAAGAAAGCUGGGGACCUAGGAAUAGGCCUAGCGCUUUUUGAGCGGCCGAUGUCGGAUUAGCUAGUUGGUGAGGUAAAGGCUCACCAAGGCGAAGAUCUGUAGCGGGUCUGAGAGGAUGAUCCGCCACACUGGGACUGAGACACGGCCCAGACUCCUACGGGAGGCAGCAGUGGGGAAUUUUGGACAAUGGGGGCAACCCUGAUCCAGCCAUGCCGCGUGUAUGAAGAAGGCCUUAGGGUUGUAAAGUACUUUUGUUAGGGAAGAAAAGUCAGCUGUGAAUAAUGGCUGAUACUGACGGUACCUAAAGAAUAAGCACCGGCUAACUACGUG
rnacentral:rRNA from 1 species